rnacentral:rRNA from 1 species
UACGUAGGGACCAAGCGUUGUUCGGAUUUACUGGGCGUAAAGGGCGCGUAGGCGGCGUGGUAAGUCACUUGUGAAAUCUCUGAGCUUAACUCAGAACGGCCAAGUGAUACUGCUGUGCUAGAGUGCAGAAGGGGCAAUCGGAAUUCUUGGUGUAGCGGUGAAAUGCGUAGAUAUCAAGAGGAACACCUGAGGUGAAGACGGGUUGCUGGGCUGACACUGACGCUGAACUGCGAAAGCUAGGGGAGCGAACGGG